GUUCUCCUGGUGUUCUCUGGACUGGUGAUCUGCUAGGUCACUCCAACCCUCGACUCUGGGAGCCAGCCUUCCCCUGCUCUGCUGUGAGAACCCCAACUCCCGGGCUGUUCAUGCACAACCUCUAGCAUCUUUCAUUGAAGGGAUGCUUACUGCAGUGGA